AAAAAAAAAAAACCAAAAAAAAAAAAAAAAAAGAAUAUGAUGCUAGCCUGGAAACCUUUCCCCAAACAAACCAACCAACCAAUCAAAUGGAAAGAUAAUUUAAGGUACAGACAGGUUACAUAAGCCCAAGGUCACACAGGUACUGGGUAAAAGUGCUGAGAUAUGAACCCGGGACAAUCUAUUUCAGAGCCCCGGCUGUUAAACUUGAUGCUGUAUGGCAGUGCAAUGAGUGUGCCUUGUAGAGGCUGAGGUUUGGGGUGUCCAUAGUGUUCCCCACUUUUGCACAUCCUUAUCCCAGCCUGGAGAUAGAGGUGGAAUGAUGCAGAGAAGCCACUGAUCUGCCCUUUGGGCUUCUCAACAGGUAAAGGGAUUAGUACCCAAGAGAGGAACAUCUCCAGGCCCUUGGCUAGGGAAGAGGGAGGCCAUUGAUGGAUAAGGCAAUGGGAGGAAGCUCACUGAGAGGUACUUGUGAUGGGCCUUCACAAAAGUAGACAGAGGAGCAAAGGCCGAGUGUGUUAGUGGGGGAGCAUCAGAGGUCUGUCCAGGUAGAAGGCUCAUAUUUCUGUGCACACCGUUGGGCAGGGGAGCAGAGACCAUGCAUUGCUCAUGGGCUUUGGAAGAGUGUAGAGCACACAUAGCUGGCCUGACCUGGACCAAGCUGAUACUCAGAUUCUCUGGAAGCUCCACAGCUCUGAAUUCACUCACCUCUUACUGGGCUCAUCUUUCUGCUUCUCCGAGUCUUAGUUUCUCCUGCAGAAUAGGCAUGAGGAGUGGACCUUGGAGUCCAUUGAAGGGCAAUAACAGAUGGCAUGAGGUGGGAGCUGAAACCUCAUGAGGCAAGAGAUAGGUGAAAGUAUUGGGGUGGGGGUAGGGGAGAAGAGGCCAUAGGACCAGAGGAGCCCAGCAUGCCUGGAUUGGGGUGGCAGGUACCAGAUCUGCUUAGUCUUUCACACCUGUUUUCUGUUGCCAAAGGCUUGCCAGCUCUCUUGGUGUCUACAGGGGCAGAUCCAUACUGGGCCCUGUUCCACUCCCCAGCUUAGGAUAGCCCGGCCAUGGCUCCUGGAGGCAGGCAUUAUAGCAUCGACUAAGGAGUCCUUGAAGAAUAUUAGGCCUGUGCCUCAAGGAUACUAUGAGACCCGCUUUGCCCAGUCAGUCUGUCCAAACCACUGUCCUUACCCUUACUGGGUCUCAGGUGUGUAACAGGGCCCUAGAAUGAAAAGGGACCCUUCCCCCAGCCCAGGCAGCCUCCCAGAGCCCUUGGAGGCAUAGGGGCAUAUGUGUAUGUGUGUAUGGGGGUUACAGUGAAGGGGUGAAUUAAUCCAGGCUCACCCUCAGGGGCUCUCUAUGAUGCUAAUCUCUUCUGCUUUUGAUCCCUGCCCUCCCCCUCCCAAUCCCAGCCGGGUCUGAGCUGAGGCCUUAGUGCUGCACAGGAGCAGGGAUUAGGGCUGCCCUGGGUGAGGCCCAGCCUAUCCAUAAUGAAGCAGAAGGGUUUUACCCCCGGGCAGGAGAUCAGAGCCCAAGUCACUUGCCUGGCAUAUGCAUUGUACUCUCCUUUGCCAGAACUUCCUCGCUCUCACUUUUCCUCUCCUGGGCUGACCCUCUCUCUCCUCUCCAGAGGAGCUCUGGUAGUGCCCUGUACACAGAAGCCCAGUGCGCUCUGGGGAAAGGACCAGAGGCUUUGGCCAGUAAGCAGUGGAGUUGGGCCACGAGCUCAGUUAGUGCAGACUCCAGUCCUGCCCUGUCUGUAUGAAGGGGCUUUGUUCAGGUAGGUUUUUUGUUGUUUGUUUGUUUGACCAGCAUUAGUGGAGGGAUCCUGAGUGCCAGGGGUGUACCAGAACACGCAUGGUCUCUUACAGUCCUCACAGCCCCUGUUACAGGUCUGCUUGUGGGGAGGCGGAGUGUCCCAAGGAAUGUGACCUAAGUGGUGCAGUCUGACCAGACCUAGGACAGCAGCUUAUCAGAGGCUGUCACUGCACAGAGGACAAAAAGGCCCAGGCAGAUACGCGCAGUCUUUGCAAAGGAUGAGCUGGCCUUCUAUGCCUGUCUUCCUGUCCAUGCUCAGCCUUGUCCUAGACAUGGCCGGGAUCUUCUAUGCAUUUAGAGGAGCUGGGAAGAGAGCCCAGGCCUCUACACUGCCGCAGAGCUGCAGAGGGUACCUUUAAGGAUGCCAGCCUCAGGGGAUCAUAGAGGCCUCUCAGCCAACCCAGCCUCGCAACAGCCCUGUAAACCUGGGCUUAUACACAAUUAAAAUUUUAUUACAUUAUAUUUCCUACAUAUAAAAGACUAUUUGUGAGCUAUGAACACAUCAGAACGAAAGCUCAUGGCCACUCUGCUUAAGAACUGGAUUAUUUGGGCACUGGGGAAGACCUGCCUCUUGGCCCCCUACUUCCCAGGAGGAACUAGUACCCUAAAUGUGAUCAUUACUCCCUUCCUCUUUUAAACAAAUCGUUUUAGUACAUGUGUGCGGAACCACUGGCCUCACUGCACCUUUAAGACAUGGCCUUAGAUUCUUCAAUCCCAGAGGAUGUAACUUCUUUAAGGGACAGGAGGACCUCUGAGGAGCCACCUGUAUUCUCAUGCCCCCCCCUUUUUUUAGGGCCACAUGGAACCUCAUUUGCCCUCCUGCCUCAAAUGCUCCAAAAUGGACGCAUGUUCCUGGUACAGCCAACAGGACAGGGCAGCAUCUGGCAACUGGACAUUCCUUGAGCAAGAAAGAUCCUGGAGGCAGCGGGACGGAGGAGGAUGGAUGGCCACCGUUGGGAUUUCAAUUAGUAAAAUUAAGUGACCCACCUCCUCACCAAGAGCAAGAAUCAUAGAUGUUCUCUGCUGCCCACCUGGGACAGAAUUCCCAGACUUUGGCCUCCUCCAGCAGACAGGAUCAGGACCAGGACCACAGUUCUAUGACGUUAAAGCUCCUGAGCUGCAAGACUCUCUGUGGGACAGACAGACAACUGAGACUCAACCAGUCUUGUCCAUGUUGUGAGCCAUGGUGGGUGUCAGAUGGGGGCAGCUGAAGACUGAGGACUCAAAGGCUAUUAACCCCGAAGAGUCAGAGCCAAGACUAGAGUGUGGUCAAUUCCUCUGACCCCAGAGUCCUGGUGGCCCUUUUCUUGCCAUCUCCAUUUUACAGGCUGGAAGACUGAGGCCCCAAGGGAAAAGUGUUCAGAAAGUAGCAGAGCCAGUAGCAACAAAGAAGAUACCAGGAUGUCCUGACCAGUGUUGGGACUCCCCUGGGAGGUGACAUCUGCCUCAGUGGGGAAUGUGAUGUCUCAAAGAAGGUCUGGAGUUGGGACGUCCCAGAAGUAGUGAAGCCUCCAUAAAGAGAGGUGUGUACUUGGGAGGAAGGAGCUGGGGACUCCUGCCUGCUCCAGGACUGCACAGGGAUCGCUGUUGGUUAUUUGCGGCGCUCUUACCCCGUGAGGAAACGUCACGAAACACAACAGAAUCCACUAACAAGAGUUUUAUUAAGAUAAGGUAAAGAGACAGAGGUGCACAGGCCUAUGGAAAAGACACGUGAGUAAAGAUGGAGCUGGGAAUCGUGGCACCGGCUUUUAAAGGCUGGGCCGCGCCUGCGCACACAGGCUCAUGUGGCUAUUCCACGCAUGCGCGAGGAUCACAUGGUUGCGCUGCGUGCUUUACACAACCACGCAAAGCCACGGGGUCCUGGUCACGUUUUUUUGACCCGGAAAUGACUAGGCGGAAGUGACUAGGUCCCACCGGGCAUGCGCAACCAUGCCCAACUGUGGGGGUGUGCUGUGAAUCCAUAUCAAUCGCCAUAGUGACUCAGGAGGGUAUGAGUCCCUGGUACAUUCACUGUGUUUGGCCUAGCAAAGACUUAGAGGCCCUCUCUGCUGAUUGAGAGAAGAUGCUUUCUCUUCGAGAAUUAAUUACUAUCCAGUGAACCAAGUGGCAUGGGAAGACGGUGAUCUCACCAUUCUGGGAGGAAUGGAAGCAGAAAUUGCCUGACAGUCUGCUGAGGUUGCUGUAGAGGUGACAAAGCACAUUUUAGGGAUGGGACUAUUGACUUCCAAGGUCCUUCCUAGGCCUGGGCUUGCAGGAUUGCUCCCACUCCAUCCAGUCCCCUCUUCAUCUGUCCUCUGCUUUGGCAGCUAGCUGCCUUGUAGAUGAGUCAAAAGACAGCCUGCUGCCACCUCCUCCCCGGGUGGGGCUCCAAGGAGCCGCCAAGGCCUCCCACUCCCUCAGUGGCACAAGGUCACUGCAUUCACAGUCUCUGGGCUGCCGCCUGCAGCCACCGCCCUCUGGGAGCCAAGAACUGAAUCAGUUGGUUAAACAAGGAAAAGUCACACACACACACACACACACACACACACACACACACACACACACCAUACACAGAGCAUACACAGACACACGUACACAGAGCAUAGACAGACAGACAGACAGACACACACACGGAGAGGGAGAGUUGAGCCUGGAAUGUCAAACACCCUCGUGCUCUGGCCUUUUAUCACAAGCCCAUGGAGAUGAAAUUCUGACCUAAUAAUCAAAACAAGCUGUAAUUGCAAACAGACCCUCUGAAGGCUGCAUAGGCAGCUUGGCCUGCGGGCCUGGGGAGAGAGGUACCUGCUGAGCACAGCAGGCUGGCCCACGUCCUCCUCCUCUUCCCCCACGGAUCAAUGUGGCUGUCCAGCCACCCACCACGCACCAUUUUGCUGGCCUGGCUGGCUGGAGCCCUGCUCAUAUUCUGUCCCUGUGGGACCCCAGGGCUCCCUGUGCAGAGAAAUCAGCAUGGAGGAAGCCAGCUCCAGUGAAAAGAUGAUUGACUGCUCAGCAGCACCCCAAGAGGCCAUGAGGGGGUAGAGCGGGUGUUACUCCCACCAAGCCUGCCUGAACUCCACCUCCUCUUGGCUCUUCCGAGAGGUUCUCCUGGGUGCAACCCCAAAUCUGGAAGGCCUUUCUGUCUCUUCACAGCCCCCACCUCCUUUUUUUUGUGUGUUUUGUUUCAGGCACACCCUCAGCUCAAAUUUGCUUUGAAGGUCAGUAAUUUCCAUUCCUGCUUUUCAAAAACAAUCGCACAGUUCUUCAGGGACCCAAAUGUUGAUUCUCUUCAGUAAAGAAUGAGUCUUCCCCAGCAACAAAUACAUUCCAGAAUUAUCCAUCCAACACUUCCAAUGGGCCAGACAUCCAGAAAAAGCCAAGGACAUGUCAGCCUGGUCUAAGUUUCCACAGUUCUCCCUCUAGGGGAAGCUCAGCCAAUGUGUGCCACAUGCUAGGUCAGGGUCUUUCCAUAGGUCCUGAGUGGGAACAGGAAAGGAACCCUAUGUUGGUGACAUUGGAUGCUGGGUCAGUUUUGAGACCAGUGCUAUUUCCUGUGUCUUUUCGUUCUAAAUUGUUUUAGAUUAUUAGGGACUUUCAGAGCUAAGGCCAGCUGCCCUCAUUAAGGAUGACCCAGCAGUCACAGCUUGAGGAAUCAGAGGGCAAUAUCAAAAGGGACCUUUUGAGCCCACCCGGGCCCCCCUACCUGGAGAGUUUGGGCUGGGCUUGGGCACACAAGCUGUGGCUUCCUAAUGGAUCAUUUUUCUGAAAUCCUGGCUGGAUCCAGACUGCAUGGUCCUUUCUAGAUUGGGCAGGCCAGGGAUACUUCAAGAAUGUCAGCCCUAUGAGCUGCGCAUGAAAUCCUAUCAGUCUCUAUUGGGGAAAAUUAUAAAGGCCACUCCACGUAGUUAAAGGGAAGAUUUAUUUAGUGGAUGACUUGCAAAUGAAGGAAUGGAUAGGU